UACGUAGGCAGCGAGCGUUGUUCGGAUUUACUGGGCGUAAAGGGUGUGUAGGCGGUUUUCUAAGUUUGGUGUGAAAUCUCCCGGCUCAACCGGGAGGGUGCGCCGAAAACUGGGAGACUAGAGUGCGGGAUGGGAGAGUAGAAUUCCUGGUGUAGCGGUGAAAUGCGUAGAUAUCAGGAGGAAUACCGGUGGUGUAGACGGCUCUCUGGACCGCCACUGACGCUGAGACACGAAGGCGUGGGUAGCAAACAGG
rnacentral:rRNA from 1 species